rnacentral:rRNA from 1 species
UGCCUUACACAUGCAAGUCGAACGGUAACAGGUCUUCGGAUGCUGACGAGUGGCGAACGGGUGAGUAAUACAUCGGAACGUGCCCGAUCGUGGGGGAUAACGAAGCGAAAGCUUUGCUAAUACCGCAUACGAUCUACGGAUGAAAGCAGGGGACCGCAAGGCCUUGCGCGAACGGAGCGGCCGAUGGCAGAUUAGGUAGUUGGUGGGAUAAAAGCUUACCAAGCCGACGAUCUGUAGCUGGUCUGAGAGGACGACCAGCCACACUGGGACUGAGACACGGCCCAGACUCCUACGGGAGGCAGCAGUGGGGAAUUUUGGACAAUGGGCGAAAGCCUGAUCCAGCCAUGCCGCGUGCAGGAUGAAGGCCUUCGGGUUGUAAACUGCUUUUGUACGGAACGAAAAGACUCUGGUUAAUACCUGGGGUCCAUGACGGUACCGUAAGAAUAAGCACCGGCUA